rnacentral:lncRNA from 1 species
GCUAGUUAUAUGAUACAUCUAUCUAAUAAUCUUAAGUGUAAGUACUCUAUAACAUGGCAAUACAAUGUUGUGUUGUAAAUGUUGUUUCAAAUAGAAAUUGUUAUUUUGAAAACCGAUUUUUUAAUUGUCAAUGUAUAAUACUAUGUAUCGUGUGUAUGAACUUAAGCCCAAAUGGUUAAGUUAGAAAAAUAAUUAUUUUCACUUUCUGUUGAUCUUUUCUUGUAUAAAUUAUCAUACGGAUACAUAAAGUAUGCUGACCUUCUGUACAUUUAUUGAUAAUUUUUAAAUAUUUUGUUUAAUAGGAAAAUAUGAUGCUACAGAUAAGUAGAUGAGAUAAUGCCUCGUUUACUCCAAAGACCAAUGCAACUCAAAAUGUCAUCGCAAUCCAUAUUUUACCAAUCUGGCCUGUUCUUUUAAUGUUUGUCAAAAUAACAUCAAUAAGAUGUACGAAUAUAAUAGUAUAUUAGUUGUUUUCUAAAUUAAUAUAAACGUAUAAUAACAGUUUUCGUGUUUCUUUACGAAAAUGCUUUAAUCAGCUGAAUUUGUUCUGAAUAUAUCAGUUUGAAAUUGUCUGAUAUCGGUUGAGAUAUACUGAUUCACAUGUGAGCUUCAAUAAAAUAGACCUUUCAACUGUGAAACAAAUUGUCAGUCGGAUAUGACUGUCAAAAUUAACGAAUCUGAUAUACAUGGUUUUUUCUAGUUCUAACAUUGGUUCAAGUCCUGUUGGUUCAAUACAGAUCCUAAAGAGUUGUGAGUUUUAGUAUAGACAAUUAGAUGGAAAGUCUAGCGCUAAGUGAGAAGAUUCAGUCAAUUGUUGAAGAAGUGAAAUAAACAUUUUAAUAAAGGGCAGAGGUUUUACUAGCCAUAAGGCAGGUUCGUAUACAAAUUUUCUAUAAAAUGUCCUGUACUCAUAUACGUCAG